rnacentral:rRNA from 1 species
CGCCUGGGGAGUACGGCCGCAAGGUUAAAACUCAAAUGAAUUGACGGGGGCCCGCACAAGCGGUGGAGCAUGUGGUUUAAUUCGACGCAACGCGAAGAACCUUACCUGGCCUUGACAUGCAGAGAACUUUCCAGAGAUGGAUUGGUGCCUUCGGGAACUCUGACACAGGUGCUGCAUGGCCGUCGUCAGCUCGUGUCGUGAGAUGUUGGGUUAAGUCCCGUAAUGAGCGCAACCCCUAUCCCUAGUUGCUAGCAGUUCGGCUGAGAACUCUAGGGAGACUGCCGGUGACAAACCGGAGGAAGGUGGGGAUGACGUCAGGUCAUCAUGGCCCUUACGGCCAGGGCUACACACGUGCUACAAUGGCGCGCACAGAGGGCUGCAAACCCGCGAGGGGGAGCCAAUCACACAAAACGCGUCGUAGUCCGGAUCGCAGUCUGCAACUCGACUGCGUGAAGUCGGAAUCGCUAGUAAUCGUGAAUCAGAAUGUCACGGUGAAUACGUUCCCGGGCCUUGUACACACCGCCCGUCACACCAUGGGAGUGGAUUGCACCAGAAGUGGUUAGUCUAACCUUCGGGAGGACGAUCACCACGGUGUGGUUCAUGACUGGGGUGAAGUCGUAACAAGGUAACCGUA